rnacentral:rRNA from 1 species
UACGUAGGAACCGAGCGUUGUCCGGAAUUACUGGGCGUAAAGGGCGUGUAGGCGGCCUGCUAAGUCUCAUGUGAAAUCUCCCGGCUCAACUGGGAGGGGCCAUGGGAAACUAGUAGGCUUGAGGGCAGCAGAGGAAGGUGGAAUUCCCGGAGUAGUGGUGAAAUGCGUAGAUACCGGGAGGAACACCCGUGGCGAAAGCGGCCUUCUGGGCUGCUCCUGACGCUGAGGCGCGAGAGCAUGGGGAGCAAACCGG